rnacentral:rRNA from 1 species
AUGGCCUGCUUCCCUUGCAACCCUCUUCCCCACCUUCCCCCCGGCACUACAAUCAUCCCGCUUGGCCCUCUUCGUGCUCGCCGUGGAUAUGUGGUGCUUGGAGGAGAGCUUCCGAUGGUCUGCGAUGAGUGGGCAAUCGCCACACUCGUCCCUGAGGUAUCUGCAGAGGAGUUUCAUGGUGCCAUUGCUCUGAUCACCAACUACCUGGAGGGGCGCGGAUGGCGCAUCAACUACACCUCUCGUUGUGGUAUGGGCACCGCUCUUAUUCAGUUUACUACUGCCUGUUCGCGUGAUACUGCUGUCAGUCUCAGUCUGUUUCAGAUCGGGGACUCUGUUCUUAGAGUUAGCAGGCAGGACAGAGGUUUGAACUACCGCAACAUUACUUUUACACAUGAUAUAUGGAUAUUGCUUCUAAACUAUCCUCUUGAAUGCUGGGAUGUUGGGGUCAUUAGUCGUACUGUUUCUCCUUAUGGCCGUUUUCUGAUCUGGAACAAAGAUCCAAGGGACAAGUCGAGGGUUGUUGUUAAGCUCAGGGUUAUGAAUGUGGACACCAUACUUGUUAGCUUGGUCGUGCUGAGAAACCUUGAUGAUGUGGGCUAUGGUGACUCAUGGACCUGUCCUACAUAUAUUUUGUCUCGGGAGCUGAUUGGUCAGCAUGGGAGAGAUGAGGAUCCACUACCCCCUGAUGGUGGUAACCCUCACCCACUUCCCCAUGUCCAUGGAGGGUUUUGGCACGAUGAGGUUUUAGGGAAUAUCCCUAUGGAUCAGGUGGUUAUCAACCCUCACAAUGAGAAUCUAGGUGCACCAUACGAAGAUGUUCAUGUUGUUCAUAAUGAAAAUGUGAUCCAUGAUGAUGAACACUUGGCUGCUGCAGUGGAUCACAUUGUUGUUGAUCAUGUGGUGGCACCAGCUAGGGAGGAUGCACAUGCUCCCAUUCAAAUACACUCUAGCACUCACUAUGUUGCACCACAUGAGACACUUGGGCCUGAUUACAUCCCAAUUAAUCCUACGCCCCAGCCCAGCACACAGAAUGCUCCCAGCCCUGUGUUUGUCCCUAAGAAUAGCAACAUGAGCUACAAUGACAUGCCAUCUUCUAGCAGUGUCCAGCAUGUACAAACAAGAAACAUCUCUGUUGAAGGAGCAACCGAGCACAUCAAUGUUCUUCAGGAACUUAUUAGAAAUCUGGUGACAAAUGCUUAG